UGAAAACCUCAUUUCAAGGACAAGCUGCUACAUUACAGUACAACAAGCAGAACUUCCGUUGGAGGAUGAACGUCGGGAAAAGGGAGAUGUUUUGCGACUGACUGUUCAACCCCGAUCAACAACUAAGUUUCAUGAGAAUGUCCCAGCUUGCUGAACUGUUGGAAUCAUGAAAUGAUUUAGAAGCCGAAGGAACUGGCCUUGCAUCUUUAUACCGG